CCUACGGGGGACAGCAGUCGAGAAUCAUUCACAAUGGGGGAAACCCUGAUGGUGCGACGCCGCGUGGGGGAAUGAAGGUCUUCGGAUUGUAAACCUCUGUCAUGUGGGAGCAAAUUAAAAAGAUAGUACCACAAGAGGAAGAGAUGGCUAACUCUGUGCCAGCAGCCGCGGUAAUACAGCGGUCUCAAGCGUUGUUCGGAAUCACUGGGCGUAAAGCGUGGGUAGGCUGUUUCGUAAGUCGUGUGUGAAAAGGGCGGGCUCAACCCGCGGACGGCACAUGAUACUGGGAGACUAGAGUAAUGGAGGGGGAACCGGAAUUCGCGGUGUAGCAGUGAAAUGCGUAGAUAUCGAGAAGAACACUCGUGGCGAAGGCGGGUUCCUGGACAUUAACUGACGCUGAGGCACGAAGGCCAGGGGAGCGAAAGGGAUUAGAUACCCUUGUAGUC
rnacentral:rRNA from 1 species